GAGAUGUGGAGGAACACCAGUGGCGAAGGCGGCUUUUUGGCCUGUAACUGACGCUGAGGCGCGAAAGCGUGGGGAGCAAACAGGAUUAGAUACCCUGGUAGUCCACGCCGUAAACGAUGAGUGCUAGGUGUUGGGGGGUUCCACCCUCAGUGCUGAAGUUAACACAUUAAGCACUCCGCCUGGGGAGUACGACCGCAAGGUUGAAACUCAAAGGAAUUGACGGGGGCCCGCACAAGCAGUGGAGCAUGUGGUUUAAUUCGAAGCAACGCGAAGAACCUUACCAGGUCUUGACAUCCUCUGACCACUCUAGAGAUAGAGCUUUCCCCUUCGGGGGACAGAGUGACAGGUGGUGCAUGGUUGUCGUCAGCUCGUGUCGUGAGAUGUUGGGUUAAGUCCCGCAACGAGCGCAACCCUUGACCUUAGUUGCCAGCAUUCAGUUGGGCACUCUAAGGUGACUGCCGGUGACAAACCGGAGGAAGGUGGGGAUGACGUCAAAUCAUCAUGCCCCUUAUGACCUGGGCUACACACGUGCUACAAUGGAUGGUACAAAGGGUUGCGAAGCCGCGAGGCCAAGCCAAUCCCAAAAAGCCAUUCUCAGUUCGGAUUGUAGGCUGCAACUCGCCUACAUGAAGCCGGAAUUGCUAGUAAU
rnacentral:rRNA from 1 species